UCAUCUAAACCUAAACGUACAUUUGUCUAAAAAAGAUACCUCACACUUAUUUCACCGUUUUAUGUUUCGGAAAUUGGGAUUGUUCGUUUGAAGCUUCAAAGGGAGAUCCAAACAUACAGUAGGUAGUAAGAGGAGGGAGAGACGCAGAUCGAAAUGGAAGCGGUGAAGAGAGUGAUUCGGCAGCGUUGGAGUCUAAGAGAUUAUUCUCACCACUUGUCACGCCUCACACCCAAACGCUUCCUCGAUCUUCAUCAGUUUGUAAAUAAGGAUGCAGUUGAGAAGGAGCGCGCUCGACUUAAAGAUGAACUGAAUAGGGGAUACGUCGCUGAUAUGGCUGAGUUCAAAAAGCAUGGUGGUAAGAUUGCUGCAGCUAAUAAGGUGCUAAUACCCGCAAUGGUGGCCACCAAGUUUCCUGAUUUUGAAGUCAGCUUCUCAGAUGGUAAAACAAUGAAGCUUCCUAUCCGUGUUUCUGAUGGUACAGUUGGUUCAGAUAAAUCAUCCGUCCCCAAGGCAUCUUUGGUUUGUCUCUCAUUUCGAGCAAGCUCCCAGGCAAUGAUCGACUCUUGGAGCAUGCCUUUUGUUGAAGCAUUUAGCAAAUCAAAAGACAUUCAUUUAUAUCAGGUAUCAUUUAUAGAUUCAUGGCUUUUAUGUCGGUUUCCUAUAAAACGUUUCCUUCUCUGGACAAUGAAGAAACCUAAUCAUCCAGAAAGCAGGGAUACGCUUCAGAAGCAGAUGGUGUAUUCAUUUGGUGACCACUAUUAUUUCAGAAAAGAACUUAAGAUAUUGAAUCUCCUAACAGGGUAUAUCUUUCUACUUGAUAAUUUUGGUAGAGUAAGAUGGCAAGGCUUUGGAUUGGCAACAAAAGAUGAACUAUCUUCUCUUCUUUCUUGCACAUCACUUAUUUCAGAUAAGAAAUGAGUUUUAACCUAGCAAUUACUUUCCCAAGGGAAAAUAUGAUAUACAAGGAAAGAAAUUGUCGAAGCUGAAAAGGAAAAUUUAGCGCUGCCUCAUUCCAGUUCCCAAAGGGUACGGGUAAUGAUUACGUCUACUACGCUAAUGAUCCUUAUAAUAAGUUCGAACAUUUCACGAGUCAUCUUAUCCUCUUUUUAUGCACAAAAGCUUGAUAUAAACUUGUCAAAGACCGUAAAAGCUAACUUUGACGAAGGCUCGAAGUUGGUUACAUGUCCAUAGAGGGAGUGCGUCAAGUUAUUUUCAGGGAGCAAUAUUUUGUUGAAUGGGGCUUUUUCAACUGUAAACAAACAGGCAUAAUGACCAUAAUGAGAAAUGUCAGUUGCCUAGUUAGCAAAGUAGGGAGAGUGUGCAUAAAAUUGACAUUUCCCGUAAACAAUGUGCUUAGUAUUGUGAAAUACUAGAGAGUUUGCUGCAAUGUGUGGACACUAUGUAGGUUACAAAACUCACAGGUAGUAGUUGUCAAAACUCUAUUCUGCCUCCGAUGACGAAUGAACAAAUGUUGUUUCUUGGAUCUCCACGAUAAGCAUCAAUACAAAACCAAAAUGUGGAAGUGAUGAGGACCGAUAAAAGAGACCUCUCCUUAGACAGCCUUUGAGACAUUAGGAGAAAAGAGCUGUAAACAUCGUCUUAUCAAAACAUGAUCUUACAAAAGAAAUCACAUUCUCACAUUUGUUUUACAUUAACUUGUACUAAAUUACAUUAUUUAACACAUUCCUAUUUAUAAGUUAAACAUUAUAUUUUUUUCUUUC